rnacentral:lncRNA from 1 species
UGACUUCUGCCUUGGGUGCCCAGGUGGCUGGUUUGUCAUUGGUGAAAAGAGGAAAGGUUCAUGGAAAGGAUAGAGCAGGAUUGGAAGAAGCAUAGAAUCAUGGUUGGAGGUAACAUCAACCUGGAAAAUGUUUUUUUAUUUUCCUCCAUUUAUUUUGGGACAUGGAAUCCUUUUGUGAUAUUUUGCCCACAGAAAGGGCUACAGUCCUGAAAGGCCCUGAGGACUCCCAUAGGUGAUUUUGCAGGGCUUGCCUGCAAAAGGGCAUAUGGCCAAGGAGAGUGAGUGGGGCUGAAAUGUGGUCCCCUUGGGUGUCCCUGCCCAGGACUGGGACCACAUCUGCCUGCAGGGAGGGGCACCCUGCAGGAUAUUUCCCUGUACCUCUCUAGAGGUCCCUACUUUUCACCAUCCCAUGUGCCCUGGAUGGCUGGCCUGUGGGGACUUCAUUCCUUGCCCCCUCCCCCAGCUUCUGGCUGAGUUCCCCAACAGGAGGCAGUAGCAGGAAAUCAAAGGGAGGAAAGUUUAUUUCUCUCAGCUCACUCCCUGCUGGGUGACCCUCAACUGUCUCACUCACUUUACUGAAGGGCACGGUACCCACAGCACAUGGAAGGUCCCAGACCAGGGAUCAAAUCUGAGCAACCUAUGGCAUAGCAGCAGCAAUGCCAGAUCUUUAACCCACUGCACCAGGCUGGGGAAAAAACUGGCAUCUCCAUAGGAGCAAGCUGGGCCAUUAACUCACGGCACCACAGCAGGAACUCCCCUGUGCGAUUCUGAGUUUAGGGGUUUUCUUCUCUUGUUCCUCAGGGCUGGGAUGGUGAUGACCCCCCACUGAUGCUGGCCCUAGGAUUCUGUGCCAUUCCCUGUGGGUUUCCUAAAUCCUGCCUGUACCUUUGAAAAUGGUACUUCCAUUACACUGUCCUUAAGCAUCCAGUUUAAGAUUGUCAUCUGUUUUCUGCCAGAACUGGGAGUGACUGGGAAUACUUUUCUAAAGAACACAAAGCAACGUCUCUGUUCACUUAACCACGAACCUGUGACCAUCAUAGGGGCUCCUGUUUCUCAUUCUUAAAAGGGUGUUAUGUUAGCAAGGGGCCCCCAUAGGUCCUGAAAAUCAGGCAGCCUUAUUCAUCUAGAAAGUGGGUGCCAAACCAGCUUUUCAGUAUGACCCAAAGUUUGAGUUGGAAAAGAGGAGGGAGGAUAGUCGUUGUCUGAGUCUAUUUGGGCUGUUCCAGCCAAGUACCAGAGCCCAGGUGGCUUAUAAACUCCAGACAUUUGUUUCUCACGGUUCUGGGGGCUGGAAGGCCAGGAUCAAGGUGCCAGUGUGCUUGGGUUGUGGUGAGGGCCCUCUUUCUGGCCCAUAGGUGGCACCGUCUAUCGUGUCCUCACAUGGUGUAGGGGGCUGAGAUCUCUGUGGGCACUAAUCCUCUCUGUGAGGGCUCUGCCCCCAUAACUAAGUGCAUCCCAAAUGCCCCACCUCCUAAUACUGUCAUCCUUAGGGGGUGGGAUUUCAACAUGUAAAUCUGGGGGGACGCAAACAUUCAGAAAAUAGAGGUGAGAAAGAGGGAAUGCUCAGAGUCAGCAGAGCCUGGAGAAAAGCGCUGUGUGGUGUCAGGGUACCCACAUCCAUCCAGCAAGCCUUGCCUGGGCGUUUGGAGUUGACACCUGGGAAUUGCUGUGGUGGGAAUGGAAUGGCAUGUGCCAAUCCGCACUCUGCCAAGAUGGACUUCUCUCCUUCUCCAAGUCGCUCCCUUUCCUACCAACCAUCCCCUUCUCCCACCCUGGCCAAAGAAACGCUUCUUGAGUUUCUGUAAUUUAAUGCUGGAAUCAAGUACAAGAAAAUACCUUCCUUAAAACUCUCCAGUAUAACAAGAUAUUGUAAAAGCUGUUGGUCUUCACUCGCCCAUUCUAUAGAGGUAGAGAAAUUACUAUUUUUAUUUUAUUUUAUUUUAUUGCUUUUUUUUUAGAGCCACAUCCACGACAUAUGGAAGUUCCCAGGCUAGGGGUCGAGUUGGAGCUACAGCUGCCAGCCUACACCACAGCCACAGCAACACGGGAUCUGAGCCGAAUCUGCAAUCUACACCACAGCUCACAGCAAUGCUGGAUCCUUAACCCACUGGGCAGAGCCAGGUAUGGAACCCUCAUCCUCAUGGUUCCUAGUCAGGUUUGUUACCUGCUGAGCCAGGAAGGGAGCACCGAGAAACUACUAUUUUUAAAACGUGCACCUUUAGAGCCAGCUUUUUGUUUGUCCAUUUAUUCAUUAAUCCAACAGCUGUCAAAUGCCAUUUAAGACUAAAUCACUGUAUCUGUUCUCAAGUGGAGCCUCACCUGUUCCUAAAGGAAAGGGGAUGAGGCAUAUGCAGGGGGCACCUGCAAGGUGGACUCAUCCAAAGCCAGGACAGAUGGAGAAGAAGCAAGGUGGGGCCUGCAGCCAACCCUUCCCCUGACUGUGGCCAGGCUGAGUCCAGUAUUUAAGCUGCCUGGGGCAGGCUCACAUUCUCUCUCUGUGUUCACUUUGUGCUCUUACACUGACGAGGCUGUAUGCACAUGCGCCCUUGGACAGGCUUGCGUUCUCUCCCUUGUUCCUAUUUACUUUCCUCUUACACUGCACGGUGCUGCAUGCACAGAGUGCACUGUGCUGGAGGCCAGUGUGUUGUGCAAUAAAUACUUGACCCGCUGCCCCUACGAAAGUCCUAGGUCUUGCAAAUAUGAAGCAACAGGUCAAAGGAGCUGCUGAGAAAUCUUUGGAUUUGUUCUUGGUCCUUUCCAUACUCAGGAACUAGGGGACGACCUGUCUCACCAGCAGGACUGAGAAAGAGGGCCUGUUGCUUCAUAUUCUUUCUUCCUCAGAUCCUUUCCAGGCUUUGGAUGUGAGGCGCUGUGCUGCUUUAGGGUUGCUGAGCUACAGGGCAGCAUUCAAGAGCCUCCGGCAUUUCAAAUUUAUUGCUUAACUGUCUGGAAUCCCUCUUCCAGGAAGUUAUCCAUCUUCCGAGCAGCAUAUCUGAAAGUAAGCUUAAGGAAGAUCAUUGCAGUUUGAUGUUCUGGUGAGAUCCCCAGUAUCAGGGAUGCCUUACCCAAGGGAUCAGUUGAUAAGGGAUCAGAAAUUGCUCCCGUUUGCCUGCCUUCCCAGGCCUUCGCUAAUGUCCUCAGAGCCAGGAUGAGCACAGUGACUUAGUCUCAGAAAGCGUUAGCCCUCUGAUCUGCUUGUGUUUUUUUGUACACCUAGCUACUGAUGCUUACACUGAAGUGGUGGGAUCUCCCCCACCUCUUCCUCCACCCUCCCCCUCCACCACAAUUGAAUGAGAGAGCCUUUAGAAUUUCGAUUAAGAUCUGCUUUCUAAAAUCUUUUAUAUUUUUCUUUUUACUGUCUCCUUACAUUGUUGUUUUCCUCCCGUUCCUCCCCUACUUCAUUCAUUCAUUCGUCAAUUGUAUUUGUUCAUUGCUUUGUAUCUGGAGCCUGAACUUAAGCUAGUUAACACCUCUCCUACCAUAAGGAUUUAGAGGUAAGUCUGGGAAUGCCUGGAUGGUUUGUAGGGUGGGCCCCCCAUGGGUCUGUGCCCCCGAAGGACAGGAACCUCCUAGGAAAGAGUCGCUCCACAGGAGGCGAGAGUGGAGAACACCUACUAAGUUCAGUUUCAGGGGACCAGGUUUAAAGUGGGGUUCAGGGUGGUCCUGGUGGAUUUUGGAAGCAGCAUACUGCCUGUCACUCAGCUGCCUUCCGACCUAGCUCAUGGGGACUUGUGCCUGAGCCCUAAGGUGAGGGCAUUGGAAUAAAAGAGCAAGUAAAAACUUAACUAGGUCUUUACUCAAACAUCUGAAGGUAACAGAAAGCAGCAGCACAGCAGCCCAGGGUCAGGCAGCUGUCAGCAUUCCUUACCCUGGGCAGGUGCAGCCUUGGAACAGACAGUGGUGGCUACCAUCGUGGCGGGCAUCCCCCCAAAGGCUCCUCUUGGUGUCAGCCGCAAUGGAGAGGUCAGCCCGGUGGACAUAGGCAGGUAAGGACGAAGGUGGCCGGUGCCAUGUGUAAUAGCAGGGCCCACGUGCUCAGUAUCUGUAAAAUAACCUAAUUGCUUAAGACUCCUAGACUUCAGGGAUAAUCUUGAUGUGAGGAUGUGGGGUUGGAGCAGCCACAGAGUGCAUCUGGGUAAAUCCGAAGAACAUUGUUUUUUGUGUCUCUUAUUAAUGAAGUUCCUGUUUCUCUCCAAGCAGCUGAGUUUGGGGGACACAACUGUGACACAUUCCUUAAAUCCAAUUUAGUUGCAAACAGGAUUUGCAGGAGCUUUGCAUGAAGGCUGGGGAUAUAAAAGGGCCAAUUGUUUAAAAAGAAGGUGAAAGAGCCAUAGUCAAGAAAUAAAACCUGGAAGGAAGGAAGAAGUGAGGUGUUGCACUGGAAAACCUAGUCAAGCAAAUGUUCCUGUUGGAUGAGAAACCCCUGUGUCUUUGGAGCUUAAUUCCUGAGAAUGCAAACUCUAUGCCUAGUCAAAUCCCAACCAAGAUGAAAUUCAGUUUUCAGGCAGAGGUGCCUGUUUUUCCCAAAUGUGUUACUGCGCCCAAACAGGUUGGUUCUACAGUUCUUUGUGGUUAGAGAGCUACUUGGGGUCCUUGUAGUUUGAGUAUAUUGUUGGAAAAUUUGCUUAUCUGCCCAGCCGCCACCAAGAACCCUAAAAUGUGAUAGACCGAGUGCCAGGCUGGGAGGGUGUUGUCACACAAAUGACUGGAAACACCCCAUGUUCGUAAGCCAUGCUUGUACCUCCCCAUCUCCCUUCAUCCUCAUGGUGCUGCAGGGAGACGAGGAGGCAGGUACCAUGACCCCCACUGUCCAGAUGAGGAAACCAUGAGGCACAGAGAGCCGUGACCUGCCCAAGGUCACACACAGGUGCAGGCUUUGUGUUUGAACAUUGGCCCCCAGUCUACAUCUUGGCUGCUUAGGCCCCUGCCUAGCCCUAUGCCUGGAGUGGUAACUCACCCUGAAUUUUUUUAGAGGCAUUCUAGAAGAUUCUGACAUUCAUCCAGGUUUGAGAGCUUUGUGCCCCUAAACUGUCUGUCUCAGCCUGAAUGCUCAGUGGGUGAAUGGGUUAAAUAUAGGAACCUAAUUGCUAAACGUGGUUAGAGGGUAAAAAGAAGUGGUCCGUGGACAAGGAGAUGCCGUAUGAUGGCAGAUUGGGGCAGGUAGCAAAGAAAUGGCAGUUCUUUUCUUUUUUUGCUUUUUAGGGCCACUCUGAGGCCUAUGGAGGUUCCCAGGCUAGGGGUCCAAUCAGAGCUACAGCUGCUGGCCUAUAGCACAGCUGCAGCAACACCAGUUCUGAGCAAGCCAUGUCUGUGACCUACACCAUAGCUCACAGCAACACUGGAUCCUUAACCCACUGAGCGAGGCCAGGGAUCGAACCUGCAUCCUCAUGGAUACUAGUCAGGUUCGUUAAUCGCUGAGCCACAACGGGAGCUCCGUUUUUUACUUAAUCUGUUUAGAUGUUUCGAAUGUGCCCAAAGUAAAAUCUUUCCUAUAGACAAGGCCAAGGGAAGGACUGGGACUAGGUGGACCCUCAUGGAUCCACCCCACCAACAACUACGAUCCAAAUUAAAAUGUCCAGAGUGGACAGAACUGAUCCCCCUGUGGUGCAACGGGGUUGGGAGUGUCUUGAGAGCACUGGGACGCAGUUCCAGCCCUGGCCCAGCACAGUGGACUAAGGAUCUGGUGUUGCCACACCUGAGGCUUUGGUCACACCUAACGGCUGGGAUCUCAGCCCUGGCCCAGGCACUCUGUAUGCCGCAGGGUGGCCAAAAAGAAAAACAAAACAAAACAGAAUAGGUAGAGCAGAAAAGAGCCCAUAUCUGUCUGGGCACACACACACACACACACACACACACACACACACACACUGUCCUCUUCUCUCUUCAGCAUAGAAAGGCCUGAGAAAUUGCAAGCUGACCUGUGGUCGCCUUUGGCCCAUUAGAAAUUCAAAUCUGCUGUAAUUAGACAUCUCCAAGGAUUUCCAAGGCCCAGAGUGUUAUAGAAGCUUAGAGCCAAAAGUAUUCCCAGGGCGACAGAACAGAGGGCGAGACAGUAGACAGAUUUGAGGGCAGAAAUCGGCUUAGGUAUUUGAGACACUACAGAGACCUGCCUGGGAAAAUAAAAGAAUAACGUUUAUUAAGACCUGAUACGUACCUAAUCCUGUGCUCUCCUGUGCACCUCAUUUCGUUCUCAAGUAGCUCUAGGGGUAGGUGUUUUAGUUCUGUUUCACAAGUAAGGAAACCAAGGCUUAGACAGGGUGGUGUUUCUCCAAGGUGACCCAGACAGUAAAAAACAAAC